GCCCCCGUUGUCUAAUGGCUAUGACGUCAGACUUCUACUGUCGGGUGGAUCUGGAGGUUGCGGGUUCGAGUCCCGCCGGGGGUU